CUAGGAUGCCUGUUGGUAUUUCAUUCGAGACAUAGCGUUUGUUAUUCGAUCACUUUUGCUCUUCUGCCUCUUCUUGUUACACAUACAAGGAUUUACCAGAAAUGAACGUAAAGCGAUGUAUAGUUUUCAUUGAGUAUUAGGGUAACACGUGCUAUUUAGUUUCGUAAAAUAUGACAUUGUUUGAGAAUGUAUUUUUCGCUUUAUUCGUUGUUCUUCAAAAGUCUGAGAUGGAUACAUUGAUGAAACUUUGAAAGAUGCAACGAUAAAAAAUAUAUUUAUCUAGCCCAGUUUUCUAGAAAGAUAGCGAAAAUGGUAUCAUUUAAAUCAUAUCCGAUAUCGAUAAGAGUGGUAUUAGGUAGGUACUUGAUUCAUUUGUUGGUAUAAUUUCAGCAUUCGCUAAGUAAUUUUUUUGAAUGCUUCAAAGUUGCGACAAAAAAAUGAAAAAGAUUGUGCCCGUUUUGCGAUUUUUGGAUACCGUUUGCUUGUAUUUUUGGGCCACCUUUGUUCCUAUUUUUAUUCUACUUGCCUAGAACCAACUGUCAUGUUUGUAGAAACCGUGAUUUACAAAUCCUCCGUUGAUACCUGCUGACCACAGAAUCGCAUCGAAAUCUGAAACAAUGCUCCUGUAAAUUUAAUAAAAUCAAUACAGUUAUGAAUGACUUUAACUGCCACACUCCAUUAUGAUCUGUUCAGCUCUUCAAGAUGAAAUCUCCCUCGUUUGUGUCCCGUCAGCUUCUAAAACCAUGGAAAAAUGGAUAUGUCCCGUUACGACUUAUCUGCAUUCAUUUCUGUCAUUUCUGAUAAAUUUUUAUAAGUGCUAGGUGAACCUGAAAGAAGAAAUAAAAUCAGUAAAAUACCAUUAA